rnacentral:rRNA from 1 species
UACAGAGGAUGCAAGCGUUAUCCGGAAUUAUUGGGCGUAAAGGGUGCGUAGGCGGUUUGGUAAGUCUCGUGUGAAAUCUACAGGCUCAACUUGUAGUCUGCACGAGAAACUGCCGGGCUUGAGUAUGGGAGAGGUGAGUGGAAUUCCUGGUGUAGCGGUGAAAUGCGUAGAUAUCUGGAGGAACAUCAGUGGCGAAGGCGGCUUCCUGGUCCAACACUGACACUGAGGUGCGAAAGCGUGGGGAGCAAACAGG